GACGAACGCUGGCGGCGUGCCUAAUACAUGCAAGUAGAACGCUGAAGGAGGAGCUUGCUUCUCUGGAUGAGUUGCGAACGGGUGAGUAACGCGUAGGUAACCUGCCUGGUAGCGGGGGAUAACUAUUGGAAACGAUAGCUAAUACCGCAUAAUAGUAGAUGUUGCAUGACAUUUGCUUAAAAGGUGCAAUUGCAUCACUACCAGAUGGACCUGCGUUGUAUUAGCUAGUUGGUGAGGUAACGGCUCACCAAGGCAACGAUACAUAGCCGACCUGAGAGGGUGAUCGGCCACACUGGGACUGAGACACGGCCCAGACUCCUACGGGAGGCAGCAGUAGGGAAUCUUCGGCAAUGGACGGAAGUCUGACCGAGCAACGCCGCGUGAGUGAAGAAGGGUUUCGGAUCGUAAAGCUCUGUUGUAAGAGAAGAACGAGUGUGAGAGUGGAAAGUUCACACUGUGACGGUAGCUUACCAGAAAGAGACGGCUAACUACGUG
rnacentral:rRNA from 1 species